rnacentral:lncRNA from 1 species
ACAGUGUUCAGUUACCAUAUCUAACUGAAAAGCCAUCCACAAUCUUGGUACCUGCUACAUGCUCUGUUCUUUUUUUUUAUUAUUAUUAAUUUCUUCAGUUUAUUACCUUUAAAUGUAAGGAUAUGUACAUAGUUACUUUAAGUAUAAAAUGUAUCUGUAUUUCUGAAGUAUCAACAGUACUAUUUAUUUCAAGCUUUUGGAGAAAAUAACAAGUAUAUAAAUUUUGUUAUUUCAUUGAUAUUGUUUAGAGUAGGUCAAAUGACAUUAAGUGGAAAUUAAAAUGCAUUCUAUAUAAAGAGAAUUACUACAUAAUACUGUAUUUUUAUAAGCUUAAUAUAUCAAAAUUUAAUGUUUAAACAACAAAUUGCUUUUCUUUUCAUAUUAUCACCCAUGCUGCCCGUACCUUUUCAUAAAUCCUAUCUACCUUAUUAACAUUUUCAUCAUUGCCAGGUGAUGGUUUGAAAAUCCAGCUCAUUUCUGCCGCCUUCUCGGCUGCUUUCACCUCUGGACUGCUUUCUGCUACAGGUUUCCUUGUUCUCUUUGGUGUUCCAGACUUCCUUUUGCCUGUAUUGUGUACUCUGGGGUCUUUCCUGUGACUGUUCGUAGCUUCUCUCUCCUUGCAUUCACUAGACAGCCAGCACCUUAGACCAAGUCUUUUCUUGACUGACUCAUCUGCCCAUGCUCUGUUCUUGAUGACCUUCCCUUGGCCAUGCAUAUGACCACCAGUUUACAGAAGAGGAGCUGAAGACUUGGAGAAAGCUAGGUGACUGAUCACUCCACAAAGUUAAGGCCAGCUCCACAGCCCGAGCCCUCUUCUGUCGUUUAUGCUACUUCUCAGAGAUGAGAAAGAACCUUCUCCUAAAAGGCAAAGUAGGAUUCUUCUUCUCAGAGGAGUGGCGACUGUUGGGUAGCGGGGUGGGAUCAGAGUGUGGGAUGGCUGCUUUGUGGAGAAUACAGUGUUAGUGUGGAACUGUGUUGAUUUGUCUGACAUUUAGAAAAGAGAGCUCUCUUGGGACUGUGUGAGUGGGCUUGUAUGUGUUGUAAAUUGGUCUGUUACCAUUUUUGCCCUAAGUUGGCCAGUUCUCAAAUUAUGGAUGCUAACUUUGUGGUCAAGCCUCUGAAGCCCCUCCCAACACCCGCGCUGUAACACAAUGUCUUCGAGUAGCAAGACUCUUGUGCUGUGUGGAAGCAGGUCUAUUUAGUUUGACUUUUUUGGCUUUCCAUUGGAAGGUAAGGUUAUUUGUGCUUUGUUUUUAUGACAGCAGUUAUUGUGGUCUCUUGUGGAAAAUGUGGUGUGGUUGCUUCUGAUGAAGUUUGUCAUCAGAGCCAGGAGGGGGCAGUGUUCUGCAGGAGAUCCAAGGUUGCAGUUGCUGAAGCAGUGGCUUUGCAGUGAAUACCAAGCACUAGGCUAGAAAGUCUGUGACCUAAAGAUAGAUGCUGUGUUGUCUACAGUCAAUGCAAGGGGAAGGCGCGCUCUGCUUCCGUGUGUAUGUUACAGAGUGCUAGGAACGUAGCAUUUCAGGAAAACAAGACAGCUGUAAUUCUAAACAGUUUAUUUGGAGAUAUUUGACCAAUCAAAGUCAUACUUGGCAUUUCCUUGAAAAUGAGAUAAAACAGUUAAGCCAUUCUAAAUGUAAGGCCUAGACAGAGAGUGUGCAAGCUGUUGAUACCUACAUUGAAGUUACUUUACUUUUUAACAGUAAGCCGAGUAUGGAUUUGUUGAUUUAAGAAUUCAGAUUCAGAGCUGGCGUAUAGCUCAGUUGCUAAAUUACAAGCUGAUGCUCAUCCUCAGGUACAGCCUAAGCUACAUGAAAGCCUAGUUCAAAAUCAAAAAUGAAAUCCAUAUUCUACCAGAAAUGCUAAUGCUCUGAAUAGAGACAUUAACAUUUUGAUACGUAUAUAUGAUAUGUAUCUGUGUGUGUAUAUACACAUAUAUUCAUAAAUACACACACACACACACACACACAGCCAAAAUAAAUUCUCUCCAGGCCUCCAUACUAGUUAAGUGUGUGCUGCACAGAGGCCGGGGAGGCUAGAGUCCCUGAAGCUGGAGUUAAGGAUGUUGGUAAGCCUCCGAUGUGGGAACUGAGAAGAGCAGCCAGUACUCUUAACCACUGACCAAUCUGAGUCACUAGACACACUAGCAACAUGAAGCUCUGUCUAAGCUUUUGUGUUGUGUACGAUUCAUAAAGUAUAUCUUGGUGCUGACGAGGUGGCUCAGGGAUUAAGUAUGUGUUACUUACUGCUCUUGCAGAGACCUGAGCUCAGAUAUAAGCACCCACCUGGUAGCUUACAACCACCUAUAAUUCUAGGUCCAAGGGAGCUGAUGCCUCUUGACCUUUGAAAGCAUGCUCACACAUGCGCACACACACACAAUAAAAGUAUAUUUCAUAGUAUGUGUUAUGCUGUUUUAAACUAGUUACUUUUAGUUAUUAGCAAUUUCUCUGUAUUUAUUCUUUGCUUAGCUCAGUAUUACCAACUGGCAGAAAUUCCAUUUUUUAUAUAUGUGUGUGUGUGUGUGUGUGUGUGUGUGUGUGUAUUAUAUAUGUGUGUGUGUGUGUGUAUAUAUAUAUAUAUAUAUAUAUACACAUAUAUAUAUAUAUAUAAAACAUGUUACAUAUAUAUUAUAUAUUAGGUUCUGAUAACCCACUAUCACAGUAUCUUUUGUAGAAUAUUUCUAUAUUAAAUUAUAAGAGAAUACUGUUAUGUUUAUAUUAGAGCUAGGACAGUUAUUUGCCAUGAUAAAUGUUAUCACAUUCUUUUAAGUUAGCAUUUCCUCAGCUGCUAACUAGUAAGGUU